rnacentral:lncRNA from 1 species
AGGCCUUCAAACACAUACGCUGCCGUGUUCUCCUCCCUUUUAUCAGUCUACCUUUGAAUUGAGGCAUGACUCAGUGCCAGACGUUGUUCCCUUGACUGGCCUUCUGCACAUGUAGCCAAGGUGGCUCACGACAUCCGCCCACCUCUUCCUCUGUGCAACAAACCUCUUUGUUUCCUUUCCGUUCUCCCAUCACUUCCUUCCCUGCAGACAGCGGUACUCAAGCGACCCAUGUGUUCGUUACUCUCCUCUACAGCUACCUUUCUUUAAUGGGACUUGAAAUGGAGCAAUACUUAAUGGGUUGUACUUGAAGAUUGCACUUUCAAUUAAAAAGCACACACAGGCAGAUAUUUUGCCUAUUAUCCCACUUCCUCUGGCUCUUGCUGACUGAAAAGCUCUCUUCCAUAAUUUUCAGGUCUCAGUAGGCCUCAGCUGAUACUCAGAGAUAUUUUUUGCAUCCACUUUGCUGCUUUCCCCUCUUCAUUAUUGGAUCUGUUUUUGUUUUGUUUGUUUUUUUAGUAGGCACUUUUGGGUGAUGGAAGGAAGCAUUGCAUGUUUUCCUUUUCAUUCGUUAUGCUUCCGUUCAUGUGUGCUUGAUUUGUAUGUCAGCACUGUGUUGCUUCUAAUGGUGGGCAUUCUCUUUAGGUCACUAAUUUGAGUGCUUCCUGCAGUGUUGCAGGAGUUUCUGCAGUUCCUCUGCUUCUUGCACCACUGGAAUAAUACUAUGUGUUUCUCUCAUUUGGCUCAAGUCUUCUUCAGCUGGCUUGUUAGAACUUGAAGGGGCCACUAGUAUGGAGCGAUGCCCAUUCUUAGUUGUGAGAGAUUAAUGGUGCGUAGCAAGGCAUUUUGAUAUACAUCACUGUCAUGAAACUGAGAGUCUAUUUUCUAUACGACAGCCAAGCUUUUCAACUUUUGUGCUACUUUUAAAGUGACAAAUGGCCAGCAAUAAAUGUCAAACUCUGAUCUUUCACUUUUUGCAUUGUUUGGAAUGUGAUCUUAUCUACAUGUAAGCACAGCCGUGUCAGUCUGAAAAGGCCGCUGCUAAAAUGUCAUCAUGAGAAACCCUAAAUCAGUCUCCCAGGUGGCUUAAUUUAGAGAUUGGUUAUAAUGACGUGUUCUAUCCCCUUCUGAACGCAGUGGUUGAUUUCAGCUGAGGUUUCGGAGAAGAUAGACAAUAAGGUCUUCCAGGUUGCAGCCAGGAGAUUCUAUCCAUACCUUUAUGCUAUUGCUCUUAUAUUUUUAUCACACCUUUCCUUCAGGGAGACCAUCCUAUCAUCAGAAAUGCCAGUUGAGGCCAACAGUGAUACCAAGAUACCCAGUGAAUGUGAUGGUUGAGAGGGGAGUCAAAACUAGGUCCUGCCAAACCAAAACUAGCACACCCUCCAUCAAAUCACCCUAGCUCUUAGGUUGGCUACUGAAGCAGAAGACAAGCUGCGUCUUCUGUUGCCCUUCCUUUCAUGCCUCCUCCAUGCUGCAUGACACACCUGAAGUUCUGCCCUCUACAAAAGGAAGCAAGGAAGGGAAGGCCCAAAAACAGGUACAGAAACUUUACUUAGGUGAGUAGGGGAUUACCCAGGGCCUAACCAAUGGAGGGAGCCACAUCAAUGUUGAUCAACAGUACCAGAUGUCAGUGUCUGAAAUUACUGGACCCAUUUCUUCACUUUCAAGACAGUAGCACUGAUCAGUGGAAGUGUUUCCCCAAGAGUGAUUUCAGUGCUUUGAGUCUGCUCCAUGCUCCAUUUCCUAGAUUGCUGAGAGGGCCUGCAUGCUUAAUCAACUGUUAUUGACUCACUAGCAGAAGAUACCCAGCUCAGGAAUUCUAAGUAACCAAAGCUUGCUGAGAUUUAUAAAUGGAUAAUGCCAUUUGCUUGUUUCCUUCCAAAUUGGUGCAGGCUCAGCCAUUCCAUGCAAAAUUUGGUUACUGUCUUGCUUCACAAGUCAUAGCUCCCCAAUUGCAGCCCAGUUGCAGCUGGUCGUAUGGUCUAGGGCUAGGCAGUGGCCAUGGCAACAGGGCAUUGGGAAGGCGGUGUGAGGAGGCCUGAUUCGCUCAUGUGGCAUGCCCCUUUGCAAGUGCCUUGCAAUUUUCACUUGCAAGAAUUUCUGCAAUCCUCAGGCCACCCAAGCAGUUUCCACUUCUAUUAUCUUAUUGGCAAAUGCUAGGGAAAGAUAAGUGGAUGGAAGAUCAAAUACACAGUUCAGACGCAACACAUUUCUCAGCUUGCAUCUCUGAGAGAGGCAGAAACUUAAUAAACACCAUUCAUCUCCCUGAUAUCUCAAGCUUUCGGUAAUGCACUGGGCACAUAAGAGACUGCCAUCCAUUCUCCUGCGGAAACUGCAAAAUCUCAUUUGAUGAUCAAAUUGACUAAUACAUUAUCCAUGUGUUAUCCUUAUAGGAUUUACUGCAUGGAUUGGGCAGAAUAAAAGUAUCUGUCCCCCCACCCCCCAGUAAAUAAAAAGCCUCAGAAUGCAGCAAAUUAUGUUACAUGCUUGGUUGGUAGAUAUGGGCAUCGUAGAGGCCUUUACUAUAUUCAAAAGCUGCAGUUUUGAUUUUCCUGUUGUGUCUGAUAUAAGCGUAAAAAAUCAUAUCAUUAAAACCAGCUCCGGUUCAUGCAAGCUACAAGUUCAGAUCUUGCUACCACUGCUCAGAUAUUGGUAUCAAAGUAAAAGAACAGAAGGAAGGGGAUGCCAACCAAGUUCAAAGAUCAGUAGAUUUCUCUCCUUUUUUUGCCAGAAACAUGGUCAUAAAAUCUCUAGUAAAGGUAAAGGGACCCCUGACCUUUGGGUCCAGUAGUGUCCGACUCUGGGGUUGCGGCGCUCAUCUCGCUUUAUUGGCUGAGGGAGCCGGCGUACAGCUUCUGGGUCAUGUGGCCAGCAUGACUAAGCCGCUUCUGGCAAACCAGAGCAGCACACGGAAACACCAUUUACCUUCCCGUCGGAGCGGUCCCUAUUUAUCUACUUGCACUUUUGACGUGCUUUGGAACUGCUAGGUUGGCAGGAGCAGGGACCAAGCAAUGGGAGCUUACCCCGUCACGGGGAUUCGAACCGCCGACCUUCUGAUCGGCAAGCCCUAGGCUCUGUGGUUUAACUCACAGUGCCACCCGUGUCCCGUCAUAAAAUCUCUACUCGGGUAUAAAAAACCAUCUGUAGCUCAGUGACAGAGCAUCUGCUUUGCCUGCCAAAGGUCCCAGGUUCAAUCUCCAACAUCUCCAGAUUCUACCUGAAGCUCCUUGGGAGUCACAGCUAGUCAAUGUAAAGAAUGGUCUGAUUCAGUAUGAGGCAACUGUUUAUGUUCCUAUGCUCCCAUGCAUAGUUUUAUUCUGCUGGUGUAUAUGGAUUGCAUUUUCAAGACAGCACAGAAGCAAGAAUGAAUGGUUCAAGGAAAGCAACAAUUAUUAUCUAGACACCCAAAGGUGAAGAACACUUAAUAUUUAGCAGGAGAUGCUGCUUUCUUACAAAAUGGAAUAGGAAUGAGGUGGAAACCCAAGCACACCUGUUCAAAUUGUUGUUAGCUUGAUCAUCAAACCAUACCAUAGUCAACUGGAUGCAGGCCCCCCUUCUUCUUCUUCUUCUUCUUCUUCUUCUUCUUCUUCUUGCAUCUCACAGCUCUAUGUGGGGUGCUACCCCACUCCCAACAGCCAAAGCUCAAAAAUAUUUCAACCUUGUGGAAAUGGAUGGAAAAGUAGUUAUUGGUGUACCCCAAGAAAGAUGGCAGAAUUCUGACAUGCAGCCCAUCUGUGUUUUUUAUUUUGCUGGAAGCCACCCAGAGUGGCUGGGGUAGCCCAGUCAGAUGGGUGGCAUAUAAAUAAAAACAUUCUUAUUCUCUAGUGCAGAGCUUUCCAAACUGUGUGUCAUGACAUAUUGGUGUGUUGGCUGCAACGUAUGGGUGUGUCACACAAACACUGGAAAGGGAUUUAGUUCCACCUCCAGUUUGCUAGUAAAACUGAAUUGCUGUGUUGCAAAAUGAUGCAUGUCUAAAAACUGUGUCACCAACAUGAAAAGUUUGGAAAGCUCUGCUCUAGUGUCAAAUGACACACCAACCUCCCCCCCCCCCGCCAGUGAAUGAUUGGCUAGACUCAUGAUUCCCAGGCAGGAAAUAAGACAUUGGUUAGGUGGCCCAGUGAGAUCUUUGGACCUGUGUUGGAACUGCCCCAAGGUGAUGUGGUUUUGGUUUUGUUUAGUCUUGGGGAGACAGGAAGGUAUAAGCUGGAGUACAACUUGCAUUUGUGCUCUUUGAGCAUUAAGUUGAACAUUCAAAGAGCUUUCUCAGGUCUGCCAACACUCUUUUUCAAAGAAACAAAAGCCCAUCAGGUGCAGUGAAGGUUCCUGUACCUUCAUUGGUGUAGAUGAGCACAUGUAACUUUUCUCCAAGGAUGAGAAAAGAUGCCAUUUGUCUUCUACAAAAUUACAAAAAGUUUCAGAAUGCAUUUUCUGUAGGCACUUGUUCACAAUAACAGUGAGAUGUCCAAUAAUAGAAUGAACAGGGUUCUUCUUCUUCCUCUGGGGAUACAUCAGGGGACAUGUGGAACAUUGGGUCAGAGAAUUAUUGGAUUAAUUCUCUUUUUUAAAGGCCAUUAAUUCCAUGAGAAGCUUCAACAGAAAAUAUGACUGCAUAAUGAGCAUUUAUGGGACCUGAAACCUAAGCAGAUGCUAAUUGGAAGAAAAAAGAUAGAUUGUAUUAGUAAGAACGAAGAUACAUUAGGGCAAAAGUGAAAUGACAAAGGACAAAAUGGGUAUUUUUUUUACGCCUCAUGCAUUUUUCAAAUCAUCAGUAAGUGACCUUACUGCAGGUUUCUGCUACAGACCUCCAAGUCUGACCAAAGACUUGUGUGAUGCCUUCCUAGAGCUGAUUACCAAACAUUUAAAAAGGAGAGAUAUUGUAGUCAUGGGAGACUUCAGUUUCUCUGAUAUCUGCUGCAACUGAAACUCUGCCAAGAAUGUAAGGUACAACAAAUUCUUCAAUAGCCUCAUUGACAGUUUCAUUUCCCAGAAGCUGGCAGAAGCAACAAGGGGAUAAUCUAUCUUGGACUUGGGCCUCACUAACAGGGGAGUACUGAUAAAUGAGGUGGAAGUACUGCAAAACUUUGAGGAUGUGAUCUUGUCCUCUUGGGUUUCGUGGUACAGAGGCAAGGGACACCUGAGUGCAGUCAGACAUGUACUUUGGACUUUAAAAAUGCUGAUGUCAAAAAGCUUAAGGAACUGCUGGGUGAGAUCCCAUGGUCAGAAAUAGUCAAAGAGGAGUUCAAGAUGAAUGAGAGUUUCCUAGAGCUGAAAUACUGCAGGCACAAAUGCAAACAAUUACAACGAGAAAGAAAAGUGGGAGGCAUCUAAAUAAACCACCGUGGUUUACAGAUGAGCUGAGAGCCAAGAAGGGC